GAGUCCACGUUCAGUAAUCAAUAUGAGAACAUUGGCGGCCAUCUUGAUUUGCUUGUUGUUCGCGUCGUCCUUUUCCUUGCCACAGACAAGAGAGGAAGCGCUCACAAAUUCAAACAUGGAGGCAAAGCGGAAUAUAGUAACGAAAUCCGUAUUAAGUUUAUUGACAUCUACAAAAUGUCCAAACGGAACUAUCUUAUCUGUGACAGGAUGUUCGCCAAAUUCAACUCCUGUUAUAUACAGACAAAGACCAGGAUAAUAAAGAUUAAAAAGAAGACAAAAAGUGUCUGUCUGUCCGCGUUUGUUCCGUGUAGUCUCCGAAACGGCUUACAGAUGACAGAUUAAAAAGCGGCCGCCACCGCUUCGAUGAAAUGACAAGAAGUUGUGUAAAUGCCAUCUAGUGGCGAUAUAAGCAAACAGAUUUCGACCGGAGUUUUACUGGAGAGUAGCUGACAUAGACGGGCAUAUUACAGACUACUUUUUAUCUUAAUAUUGCGUGGACGAAGUCGCAGGCAACAGCUACUUAUUAAAAAAAAACUUCAUUCA